rnacentral:rRNA from 1 species
AGAGUUUGAUCCUGGCUCAGGACGAACGCUGGCGGUGUGCCUCACACAUGCAAGUCGAACGGGGUAGCAAUACCCAGUGGCGGACGGGUGAGUAACGCGUGGGAAUCUGCCUUUAGAUGGGGGAUAGCAAACCGAAAGGUUUAUUAAUACCGCAUAUGUAUGUAUCUCGACAGGGAUAUUUAUGAAAGGAGCAAUCCGUCUGAAGAUGAGCCCGCGUCCGAUUAGCUAGUUGGUAAGGUAAAGGCUUACCAAGGCGACGAUCGGUAGGUGGUCUGAGAGGAUGAUCACCCACAAUGGGACUGAGACACGGCCCAUACUCCUACGGGAGGCAGCAGUGGGGAAUUUUGUGCAAUGGGCGAAAGCCUGACACAGCGACACCGCGUGAACGAAGAAGCCCUUUGGGGUGUAAA